rnacentral:rRNA from 1 species
AUUGGCCUACGGGACGCAGCAGUAGGGAAUCUUCCACAAUGGGCGAAAGCCUGAUGGAGCAACGCCGCGUGGGUGAAGAAGGUCUUCGGAUCGUAAAACCCUGUUGUUAGAGAAGAAAGUGCGUGAGAGUAACUGUUCACGUUUCGACGGUAUCUAACCAGAAAGCCACGGCUAACUACGUGCCAGCAGCCGCGGUAAUACGUAGGUGGCAAGCGUUAUCCGGAUUUACUGGGCGUAAAGGGAACGCAGGCGGUCUUUUAAGUCAGCGGUCAAAGCCCGGGGCUCAACCCCGGCCCGCCGUUGAA